rnacentral:rRNA from 1 species
UACAGAGGGGCAAGCGUUGUUCGGAAUUAUUGGGCGUAAAGGGCGCGUAGGCGCCUGGCAAGUGGAUGGUGAAAUCCCUCGGCUUAACCGAGGAACUGCCAUCCAGACUGCUUGGCUUGAGACCGGGAGAGGUGAGUGGAAUUCCCAGUGUAGCGGUGAAAUGCGUAGAUAUCGGGAGGAACACCGGUGGCGAAGGCGGCGACCUGGACGGACAUUGACGCUGAGACGCGAAAGCGUGGGGAGCAAACAGG